AACGAACGCUGGCGGCAGGCCUAACACAUGCAAGUCGAACGCUGUAGCAAUACAGAGUGGCAGACGGGUGAGUAACGCGUGGGAACGUGCCUUUCGGUUCGGAAUAACUCAGGGAAACUUGAGCUAAUACCGGAUACGCCCUUCGGGGGAAAGAUUUAUUGCCGAAAGAUCGGCCCGCGUCCGAUUAGCUAGUUGGUGUGGUAAUGGCGCACCAAGGCGACGAUCGGUAGCUGGUCUGAGAGGAUGAUCAGCAACGCUGGGACAGAGACACGGCCCGUACUCCUACGGGAGGCAGCAGUGGGGAAUAUUGGACAAUGGGCGCAAGCCUGAACCAGCCAUGCCGCGUGAGUGAUUAAGGCCCUAGGGUUGUAAAGCUCUUUCGCCAGGGACGAUAAUGACGGUACCUGGAUAAGAAGCCCCGGCUAGCUUCGUGCCAGCCGCCGCGGUAA
rnacentral:rRNA from 1 species